rnacentral:rRNA from 1 species
UACGUAGGGGGCAAGCGUUAUCCAGAUUUACUGGGCGUAAAGCGCGUGUAGGCGGCUGGUUAGGUGUGAUGUGAAAUCUUCCGGCUCAACCGGAAAACUGCAUUGCAAACCGGCCUGGCUAGAGUGCAGGAGAGGGAAGCGGAAUUCCAGGUGUAGCGGUGAAAUGCGUAGAUAUCAGGAAGAACACCCGUGGCGAAGGCGGUUCUCUGGGACGGUACUGACGCUGAGACGCGAAAGCGUGGGGAGCGAACAGG